GGACCCGUAGCUCAGUAUGGAAUCAGAGCGGCGGCCUUCGGAGCCGUAGGUCGUGGGUUCAAAUCCCACCGGGUCCG
rnacentral:tRNA from 1 species